GUGGGGAAUUUUGGACAAUGGGCGCAAGCCUGAUCCAGCAAUGCCGCGUGCAGGAAGAAGGCCUUCGGGUUGUAAACUGCUUUUGUACGGAACGAAACGGUCCGGGUUAAUACCCUGGGCUAAUGACGGUACCGUAAGAAUAAGCACCGGCUAACUACGUGCCAGCAGCCGCGGUAAUACGUAGGGUGCAAGCGUUAAUCGGAAUUACUGGGCGUAAAGCGUGCGCAGGCGGGUUUGUAAGACAGGCGUGAAAUCCCCGGGCUCAACCUGGGAAUUGCGCUUGUGACUGCAAGGCUGGAGUGCGGCAGAGGGGGAUGGAAUUCCGCGUGUAGCAGUGAAAUGCGUAGAUAUGCGGAGGAACACCGAUGGCGAAGGCAAUCCCCUGGGCCUGCACUGACGCUCAUGCACGAAAGCGUGGGGAGCAAACAGGAUUAGAUACCCGAGUAGUCC
rnacentral:rRNA from 1 species